rnacentral:lncRNA from 1 species
AAGUUCCCAGGCUAGGGGUUCAAAUUGGAACUGCAGCUGCUGGCUUGUACCACAGCCACAGCAACUCAGGUUCUAAGCUGCAUCUGCAACCUACACUGCAGCUCACAGCAAUGCCAGAUACUUGACCCACUGAGUGGUGCUAGGGAAUGAACCCAUGUCCUCAUGGAUACUAGUUGGGUUUGUUACUACUGAGCCACAAUGGGAACUUCACCUCUUCUCUUUUUUUAGUUUUUAUUAAUUUUUUUUUUUUUAAUGGCUGCAUCUGUGGCACAUGGAAGUUCCUGGGGCUUGGGGUGGAAUCGUAGCUGCAGCUGAUGGCCUACUCCACAGCCACAGCAAUGCCAGAUCUGAGCCACAUCUGUGACAUACCCUGCAGCUUGUGGCAAUGCCAGAUCCUUAACCCACUGAGAAAGGCCAGGGAUUGAACCCAUGUCUUCAUGGACACCAUGCUGAACUCUUACCUGCUGAGCCACAAUGGGAGCUCUUAAAAAUUUUUAAUUUAAGUAUAGUUGAUUUAUACUGUUGUUGAUUUCUGCUGUACAGAAAAGUGAUUCAGUUUCUUGUUAUUUUAACCUCUUUUUAUCACAUUCACAUUAUGUCUCUGGGCUGUGUUGUGUUUGCUUAGAAGUCACCAUUAAUUUUAAGUCACAUUAAGAGAUAGAAACAAACUUAUGUGAAGCAGAUUUUCUUCUUUAAUCUUAAAACAGUCCUUCAAAAUUCCCUGAGGUAGGUACUGUCUUCAGUUAAAAAGUUCAUUUAUUUAUUCAACAAGUAUUUUUGGAGAGUGUGCUAUAUUUCAGGUUCUGUGCUGGGUGCCAGUGUAUGGGCACUAAACGAGAGCCAGUGUCUGAGUUCAUAUAACUUAUGUUCUUAUGGAGCUUCCAUUCUUGGGGGUGGGGCACCUGGAGGGAAGUCAACGCCUGUGCCCAAGGUCACCCAGCUGAUAAGCCUCCAGUUCUGCUCUCUUCAAAGGAGGAGUAAUGGGGGCAGGGACUGAGGGAAAGGAGAGAAAGGGUGCUUCUUGGCUGCACGGCACAGCUCAGAGCCAAGGACAGGAGGAUGGAUGGAAGGAAACUUCAGCCAGGGAGGAGGGUGUACAUUUUUUUUCUGAGUUCCCCUGGGUUGAGGUUCUGCAAAGCAGAGAAAUAAGGGCCCUGACUCCACUGCCUUCAGUCCAAGGAGCCAGCAAUCUGGGCAUCCUGGGACAAAGCUUCAGGCCAGGUGUCUUAGGACUGGGAUGUUCUUCAGCCUCCCCCACAUCACCUGUGCAGACAGCUGUCUCCUCUGCUUCUCACAGGACUUAGUUUGGCCUUUUCCCAGCUGACGCUCUUAAGGACUAAGCACCUGUGACCUGGGGCCUCAGCCAGGAAGUCAGUCUAAACACUAACAUGCACAGAUAUUCAGGGAGAAGCCCAUGACAUGUUUGGAAAGAGAACUUGGAUUGUAUCUGGGGUUUGGAGCAAGGACUCAAGCAGAAGGGAGUGAUUUGGAAAGCCAGAGGUGAAAGGGAGGAAGGAGGACUUGAAUUUCCAGAUGGGGUGGGCUGAUUCUGGAGCUGCUGGAGCCUGGGUGGCUGUUGGGAGCUUUUCUGCUCUGUUGCGGUUGUAAUUACAGCAUCUGAAAGCUUGCGUGACAUUGCUAAUUUUAGAGAAAAUGGGACACUGAUAUCUGUACGAACACUCAGGCUCAGGGUGCUGAUUAGCGCUUCCACGUAUCAUGGAAUCAAACCCAGAAAUAGCAUAGGCAUUAGGAAAUAUUAUUAUUAGAAGAAUGUUCGUCACGAUGGAAAUGAAAAAUGUAAAUGCCAACUCUUUAGAGAGGUUUAAAGAGAUUAAUUGGAAUAAUAAAACAACUGGAAGUCAAAUUGGUUAUGGAACUGUGCUUCGAAAUGAUGAAUUCUAUUUGAAGUCUGUUUUCCUUUGGCACAUUCUUUUUUGGCUAAAAUGUAAAAAUAAAUUAGCAAAACAUAGCUGUGUAAGUGAGCUUCUCAAAUCCAUGAAGGACUAUAUAAUAUGGGUUAUGCUGACCAAGUAUUUCUCAUUUGGUGUAGGAAAAUAAAUUUUCAGAAGAGAAAGAAAGCUGUAAUUGGAAGAGUGUAGAGUAGAUAUAUAGGCAAACUUGUGGGCAGAAAGUGAAAGACAGGAAUUGGUCAUCAAAAAUCAGUUGGAGAUAAUUUCUUUUGAAAACAGGAACAAUGGGUUAGUUAUAAGACCACAACUAGAAAUAGCAUGAACAGGAAUAGGGUUAAGAGAUCCAAAAAAAAUGAAAUGAUGGAGUUGGAUAUACGAAGUGAACAAAACAAAAAUUUACUGUGUAGCACGGGGAACUAUAUUAAUAUCUUGUAAUAACUUAGAAUAGAAAAGAAUCUGAAAAAAACAAACAUUUAAUUGAAUCACUUUGCUGUAUACCGGAAACUAACACAGCAUUGUAAAUCAACUAUAUUUCAAUUUUUUAAAAAACCUGAAACAAAUUCGAUGAAAAAUGUGUAAUAUCACAUAGAUGCAGGCUAAAAUCUUAUCAAGUUCUCCGACGUUAUACUGUUAAUAGCAUAGUUUCCGAGUUUAAAAGACUAACUGUCAAGGCGGCUGGAAGGAGUAUGAACUUUGAAGCCAAAUGGAGCUGGGUUUGAUCUGUGGGACUGUGCACACUUCAUUUCCCUGUACCCCGAUUGCUGUAGUAAAGAAGGAAUAAUAAUGUUAAGCUUUCAGAAUUGCCGGGAUUAAUGAGACCACAUGUGUGCAGCAUCUUGGCAUACAUUACACCCCUGUGAGUGCUUCUUCUUUCCCUUUGUGGGAAGAGAGACUACUUAAGGAAGAGAACCUACAAUGUGCUAUGUUGCCAUCACCUUAGCCUCAGCUCUAACCUCUAAGGUUUAUGAUUUGAGCAUGGAUUUGAAAGAUCAGAACUUGUUCUCUUGAGCUGUCUAAUGGAUUCAGGAAACCUUUCCAUGGAAUCCUGCAAAGUGUUGAAAAUAUUAAUGGGAACUCAUUGGGGUAAUCAGGCUAAAACAGAAGUAUGUGUUUGCUAUCUGUGAUGCUUAGACGAUAAAUCAAAGGCACUGAUUAAGUCAUUAAUCAUAUUUUAUAAAAUAUUUGCAGACAGCCUGGCUCUAGUCUCUGCUGGCUGUGCGACCCUGGGAAAGUCACUUGAUUUCUCUUACUCUCUGUUUUCUCAACUCUAAAGUGGGAAUAAUAAUAGUACCCACUGUGAAAUGAUGUCUAUAAGAGUGACUAGUGGAGUGCCUAUGGCAGAGAUUGGUUGCUAAAUCAAUAUCAGAUCUAGUUAGAUCAUGAAACAAGGAAACUAAUAAAAUCUUCAUCACUCAAAGUGUAAUGCAUAAACAGGGUUUGUGCCUGAAACUCCUAGCACUUUGGUGACGGCUGGCUCUCAGCCCUGGCCGUAUAAUUAAUCACAGUACAGUGAACUCUCGAUUAUCUGCACUAGUGAAGGGCAGAGGCGUGGAUAAUGCAAAACAAGGGGCAAUCUAAAAGUCAUUUAUAUCUUUGGCUUUGGCACCAAGUCAGAGAAAGACACACGUCACGUGCACACACAUGUGCACACACACACACACCUUUCAUUUUUUCUCCUAGCAAAGACUUCCCAAUUGUAAUCUCUGUCAGCCCCUGGAGUCUUUCUAGGGGCAGGGCCCAGGGGAAACUACAAUUGACAUUUUACAAAGGAGAUAAAGCAUACAUAAAGCAUCUUGAAAUUUUUAAAAAUAUACAAUGCAUACAAAUAUAAUUAACAUUAUUGUUUUCAAUAACAGUUGACUUGCAGAUUUUGGACAGUUAACCAGUCAUAAGUCUGAAUCCAGGAGGCAGGUGGUUCUUACUCACAACACCCUGGGACAAACCACAUAUUGUCAGCUACCCCACAUCACCCAAAUGAAAUACUUUGAGCUGAUUGAAAACAGAAUACGAUUCACUCUCUCUUUUUUUUUUUCUUUUUUUGGACACCUGUAGCAUAUGGAUUUCCUGGGCCAGGGAUCAGAUCCAAGGAUGCCAUUGUGACCUAUGCCGCAGGAGUAGCAAUGCUGAGGAUUGAACCUACACCCUGGUGCUGCAGAGACACUGCUGAUCCCAUUGUGUUACAAUGGGAACUCCAGAAUAUGAUUCACUCUUGCAUUCCUCUAAAGUAUUUAACUAAUGUGAAAUGCCACUUUGAAAGCAUUCAAAUGCAGAAUUGAUGUCUUUUAGGGAGAUUCCUGUUGGGGCAAGUGUUGCCUGUACACUUGAGGUGGAUCCUCCUGAGAACUCUCAGUGUGAAUAGCUCCAUUCAUCUGAGAUGGUUUUCAGGUUUUACCUUCUUAAGGCUCAGGGCCCCUUCUGGAGAGGUUCCUUUAGUUCUUUCACUGAAAUACUUGACAGUGACAGUGAAGAUGGAGGGCGAUAGAGACUAAGAAGGUUGUGGAUAAAGACUGAGAGCAGCCUCACAGCUAUAGUAUGAAAGAAUUUCCAGAAUAUCCCAGGGUGUCCCCACACCACAUCGAAACUAUCUUUCAUUGAACCAACAUUUGUUUAUCAUCUCUUGCAGGUCAAGUCUUAUACUCAACAGCAGAAGAACAGAUAGGCACUGGUUGUAUUUGAAUUGCUUACACCCAUGUUUCACCUCUUGCAUUCAGCUCUUUCAGGGCAAGAACUGUGACAAGUUCAUCUUUGUGUCCCUAGCACUCAGUACAGGACUUAGCACCACACUCAGUACUUGAUGGGUGAAAGAAUGAAGAAGUGAAUGAACAAGGGAGACACAGUGUCAUUUUUCUCAAGGACCCUGUCACUUAGUAGGAGAUGUGCAUGUCAGUAAAUGUUAGCUGAGCAGUUCUCACAGUGCCAUUACUGCAGGUUGCUCAGGGAAAGAGUCUUCAUGGAUUUGUGUGGACUGGGCAAGGUUCGGGAGGAGAAAAUGAAUGACAAGGGUCUUGCAAAAGGCUAGAGUUUAGCCAGGUUAAUAAAGAAGGGGAGGGCUUGCCCAAAAGGAGGUGUAGUGCAUGUGAUGCAGGGCUAGUAGAGGUAGAUCUGCAUGGAAGAGAAGUGGGAGCAGAUGGUGGGAAGCUGAGCAGGAACCAAAAGCCACUUGGCCCCUCAUAUUCAUCACUAUAAUUCCUCCAUUAAAGACUGGUUGCUUGAAUAUUUUCCUGCACCUCUCCAAAGGACACAUAGCUAAACCUCUCAAGGACAGUCUUUUCACACUUCCCCUUCCCCCCUUUUUUAAAAUAUUCCACUCCAUUUAAUCCUUCUAAUUGCAGAGGUAUCCACUUUCAUUUUCUUUUAUGCUUCUCGAGAACUCUUUUUAGAAAAAUAGCUAUAAUAUUAUAUAUAUAUUUGUUUGUUUUGUUUGCUUUUUUUAUGAAGAACUUAAGAACAGGUCAAGGCAUGGAGCACACACAAUCAGAUCUGCUUGUCCAGACUCUUAGUUCUCCCCAGCGUGGGUCAUCUAUACCUUAUACUGUGCUUUUUGAUUACCAGUUUUAUAGGACUUUGACAAAGGUUAUGUCCUUUGUCUCAUUCUCUUACUCAUCCAUCCAUCUACCCAUCUGUGAUUAAGACUAGCAUUCACAUAGAUCACCUAUUUAAAAAAAACCAUAAAUAGACAUUUCUUUAAGAAGACAAACAGAUGGCCAAUAGGCACAUGAAAAUGUGCUCAGCAUCACUAACUAUUAGAGAAACACAAAUCAAAACUAUAAUGAGGUACAACCUCACAUCAGUCAGAAUGGCCAUUAUGAAAAAGUCUGCAAAUAAUAGAUGCUAGAGAGGGUGUGGAAAAAAAUGAACCCUCCUACACAAUUGGAGGGAAUGUAAGUAGGUACAACCACUAUGGAAAACAGUAUGAAGGCUCCUAAAAAACUAAAAAUCAAACUACCAUGUGAUCCAGUAAUCCCAUUCCUGGGCAUAUAUCUGAAUAAAAUUGUAAUUCAAAACUAUCCAUGCACCCUAAUAUUCACAGCAGAAUUAUUCACAAUAGCCAAGACAUGGAAGUAACCUAGAUGUCCAUCGACAGGUGAAUGGAUUAAGAUGUGGUACAUAUAUACAAUGGAAUACUAUCCAACCAUAAAAAAGAAAAAAUAAUGCCAUUAACAGCAACAUGGGCGCAACUAGAGGUUAACAUAUUAAGUGAAGUAAGUCAAAAAGAGAAAGACAAUUAUCAUAUGAUAUCACUUAUAUGUGGAAUCUAAUAUAUGACCAAAAGAACCUAUCUUUGAAACAGAAACAGACUCACAGACCAGGAGAACAGAAUAGUGGUUGCCAAGCAGGAGAGAUGUGGGGGAUGGACAGACUGGGAGCUUGGGGUUAGCAAAUGCAAACUAUUAUAUAAAGAAUGGACAAACAAGAAGGUCCUGUACAGCACAGGGAAAUAUAUUCAAUAUCUUGAGAUAUAUCAUAAUGGAAAAUAAUAUAAAAAGAGUAUAUAUAUGUAUAACUGAAUCACUGCUGUACACCAGAAAUUGACAUAACAUUGUAAAUCAACCAGGCU